UACGGAGGGUGCAAGCGUUAUCCGGAUUCACUGGGUUUAAAGGGUGCGUAGGUGGGCAGGAAAGUCAGUGGUGAAAUCUCCGGGCUUAACCCGGAAACUGCCGUUGAUACUAUUUGUCUUGAAUAUUGUGGAGGUAAGCGGAAUAUGUCGUGUAGCGGUGAAAUGCUUAGAUAUGACAUAGAACACCAAUUGCGAAGGCAGCUUACUACACAAUGAUUGACGCUGAGGCACGAAAGCGUGGGGAUCAAACAGG
rnacentral:rRNA from 1 species